AUGAUUUCUGUCUCUGUCCAGCAAUGACAAUCUGUCCACCUCCACAGUGAAAUUCUGUAUAUUUUUAACAACUUUGCAGCUGCUGCAAUCUCUUGGUUGUUGUUUAAAUUUGCUGAUAAAGCUAUUUGAGGAGGAGGGACAGUGGUAGACUCCUGAGGAGUCUGAAGAGAAAGGCACAGGCCUCUCCCUCCUUUCACCCAUGCACUCAAUGACUUGGAUUUCUUUGUAACUUAAGCCGGUGGGACACAACCAUGUGUCUUGGUCUUGGGGCUCACACUGGUUGCUUUUUUUUUUUUUUUUUUUUUUUUUUUAAACCCUCUCUGCCCAAGAAAAUUCUGAAUUGGUUUACUAAACUGUCCUGACUCUUGUGCUGAAGUCUGAGUUUGUAAGCCCACAUCUUUGAAAAGGGUUGUCAGACUGGAUGAUCAAGAUGGGCCCUUCGAGUCCUGAAGCCUAUGGAGCUCUGAUCUAAAAUGACAUGAUCACACACCACUUUCCCCUCAGCGAUGCUGACUUCAGUGCACCAGGAGUCACCAAACAAGGAUUUUGGAAGAUGCAUAUGAUUUACCAGUCUACUAUGCUAACAUCAUUUUGACAGGUGUGAUGCAUCAACACAGUAUUAUAAGCUUAAGAUAAAUUACAGCAUUCUUUUUCAUCAAGCAGCAAACUGCAGUGGAGUAUUGCACAAAGCUCAGUGUGUUCAGUCAGUAGGCAUUUGUGCCUGCAGCCUAAAAUAGAAUGUCUUUCUGUGAUGGGUUAAUCCCUCUUUGGCUCUGAUCCUGGGUAGAUUACUAGUUAUAGCAUGCCAUGAAAGACUGCUGUGUAAGGCAAGUAUUUCACUUAAGUCACUUACCACAUUCUCUGGACAACAGAAAUUUCUUGUGCAUCUGCUAGAAAUGUGGGGAUAAUUUAAUUGCCUUUGCUAAGAUUUCCAAUGUAAUUUAAUAAUCAUUUUUAUUAGAAUGUGCAUAUUGUUAGAAGUUAUCAGAACACUGUUACUCCUGGUGCAUUCUGAACAGCAGGUAGAAAAAUCAGACUUUGAUUUUGACUAGGGGUCCUAAUCAUUUCUUUUCAUAAUUUAGAGCACAAAAUGUGUUUGGUCAUUCUCUAUCACUUAUUAUUAUUAUUAUUAUUAUUAUUUUUAAUUCUGGUUGUCUAAACUGUAUGACAAGACCGCAUUCUACUUUACAUUUACCCAAAGGUCAAUAAAUAUCAGAACUUGGCAAAGAAACAAUGAAUAUUCUUCAAACAUUUCCCUGCAAGAAAAAUAGGCUCAUUUCAGCUGAGUGGAUGUCUCUAUUUGAAGGAUAUUUUUCACUGACAUUCAAUUAAUUGAAUUUUCCUGAAGUGGAUGUAUGUAGAAGCUAAGUGAUAAAUUUUAGGAAGUGUACACUUUUAUUUCCCUUAGUUUUAGUGCCAAGUAGGGCUGCAUUUAUAGUGCUUCAUUUUUAAGAUGGUCUAUACAGUGAUUUUUAUCAAAUGGUCCUAUUUGAAAUGUUCUAGCUUGGUAUCCAAAUCAUUAUCUUCAUUUGCAAGUCAGCAAAAUUCUGUGGAUUACAAACACUUAAGCUUUCAGAGCUUGACAUGUGGUCAGAGAAUGGAAAUGGCACUGUGCAAUGGCCAUAACUAGCCAAAUCUCCCAGAUAUUUUGUGGGAGCUUUAUGUAUGAAGAAAUGUUGAGAUGUUAGAAAAAUAGGACAUUAACCAAGAGUAAUGAAAAUGUCAGCAAAAAGUACUGAGUUAAAAUUAAUAAAGAUAGUUCUUGAAGAAAUUAAUUUGUAAACAUUUGUGAAGGGAAAGGAGAAAAGCUUGUGAGAGAAACUAAUACUUGAAAUAAAUAUGGGUAACUAUAAGGAGCAGGAAUUGUUUUUAUUUUUUUUUAUUCUAAUAUCAUUGCUAUAUUUUGUCUUUUUUUCCAUUCUAUUUCUAUUUAGAUUUUAGCUCAAAAUGGAGAUGGACUGAUCUAAAAUAUUCGUCAAAAAUGCUUAAACACGUUGAGAACCCAAAUAUACUUUUAAAUAUGGUCAAUGUGUGUCUUUUGUACAUAGAUCUGUGUUCAUAGUACUAGAAAACUGUUGAGGCCAAAUAGUAGAGAGCUUGGACCCUGACGGUAUGCAGUCUUGUUUACACAGAUUAGACUGAAUAGAAAGUCUAUGGCUGGCUGUGAAGACUGCAAGAUUUUCAGGCUGAACAGGCUCAUAUGGAAGCAGCUGAGGCUUUGUAUGAAAGUGGGAGAUACUCUGCAUGGGUGAUUAACUGUAGUGCAGUGAUCACUUUUCAGGCCAGCCUCGACUCCAUUUUAGACAUCAAAAAAAGGUUUAUAAAGCAAAGUAGUCUUCAAAAUUUUCUGUUAACAAUCAUUCUGAGGAAGAGAUUAAAAAAUGUCAAUGAAAUCAGAAAGUCAAGAGGUUUAUUUGGCAUAAUGGCUGAACAGGGAAGUUCUGUUUUUCAAGGAGGAUCAGGGAGUUCAAUGGUAGGUACAAGGCCACAGUACUAAAUGCUGACAUGGACUUUCCAAGGUUGCCCAGAGUAGUGCUAAAGUCAAUAAUUCCAUAUUGCACCUGUCAGAAGCUACAACAUAAUUGCUUUGAAGUGAGGCAUAUUAACAUCCAUGUGCUCAGCAAACUAAGCAAUUAUGAACAGGUCUCUGCUCUCCCUGUUGGCUGUUAUAAGUAUUUGUUCAAUUUGUUGCUUUGCCUCAAUUCUAGUUAAUGUGACUUAUGAGCACUUAGCACAUACUGGAAAGACAAGGGAGAGAUGUGGCUGCUGGUAGUCUGGCAGUAGUCCACAAACUGUGACCUUAUAGUGACAGGCAAAGAUGGGGCUGAUAGUCAGGAAGGAGUACAGGAUUGUAGGGCAGGAUGCUGCCAGUUGGCAUGGAAACACUAACAGUCAAAGCAUUAAGAUUUUAAAGAAACCAAACUUUUCUUUUCUUUUUUUUUUCCUAGAACAUGAUAGCAAAUGUUUUUGUAACAGUUGCAGAGACUGCUGAUUUUGCCUUUACAAGAUCAAACACACAGUACUACAGGAAUUUGAAAAAAAACAUAUAUCUCUCAAUAUAUUACAUGGGAAAUGAGGAAAAUUGUGUUCUUAUGAAAUUUGUUAUCACUGAGUUCGCCCAAUAUUAUGCAGGUGAUUACUUGAAUUUUCCAAGCAGCAGAUGUUCAGAAAUGGGGAGACAGAAGCUGGCCAAGAAAGCUGCCUCAGCAGCAGUGUGGGUUAUAAAUUCAGCAUGGACAAUCUGUUCUUCAAAGUAGAGCUAAAGUGAUUUAAAAGGUUCGUCAAGGUCACGUAGGAAUACUGUACAGGAGUGCUCCAAAGCACCAGCUGUCAGGACUGUCAAGUCUUGCUAAUGAACAGUGGAAUUUGUAGAAAAUAAUACUAAUGCUAAUUGAAACCUGAACAGCUUAGAAGUCUAGCAGGUUAUUGCUAUUGAUUCAUAUCCUAUGAUAAUGUCUCCUACAGAGCAUGCAGGAGUGCCUGUCUACCUGUAGUAUUAGCUAAUCCAUUGUUGAUGCCAUUCAUACAAGUAUCUGGAAGGUCUGAAGCCCUCUUCAGAGAGAGGGGUGUUCUAUUACUAUAGAAAUGAUGGAUCACUUUCUGAUUUUGUAAUAAAUUCUGAGCAGUAUCUUCACCUCAGAAAAGGAGAGGAAAGUGCCAAGAUAGCUUACAGUUCAUUAGGAUUUUUUCCAAGGGCUGGAGUGGGUCUGAAUAAUCUCAGUUAUAAUUUAAUUAAUCUAAUUAUCUUAGUUUCUGUUUUGGGGAAAGAGGUGGAGGCCUUUUUUAUAAAAAGGAUUAAUAAGGAACCAUUAAUAAGGAACCUAGCAGCAGUUGUGUCUUAGGUAUAUGUGCCAAGUCUGACCCUAGAGUUGAAAGAGAGAUAUGUAAAUUCUGGACCUUAAAAUGCUAAAUUGCCCUUAAAUUGCCAAUUAUGAUCACGUGUGUCUGCAUAGGAGAACAAAUCAGAACUCACCCUAGCUCUGGUCUCAUGGUCCAACUGCAGGCACACAGCACUGAGUUUAAUCAAACAAGCCUCACUUCUUCAUUCAGGAAUCUCUGAAGCUCCAUGGUAUGUAUUCCCUAUGUUCUUCUUUAAAUUCGGUUCCAUUUUAAAAUGAGAACUUACAUGGCACUAAGAAUAAUACCGAUAUCUAAGUAGACUGUCUCUCAAGGGUUACAUGACACAUGUAACAAGUAUGUUCAAUUUCAAUGCAGUUUGUAGACUUCGUUAAAGACAGCAACAUUAUCCCACAAACAGCAUCCAAAACAUUCAAAAAAAUUUUAUAGACCAACAGUGAGGGCCUUGAUAAUGAAGAAAUUUGGUCAGUUUUUUCUCUACAUUGACUUAUGAAAUUUCUUUAAUUGAGUUUUAUGACAUUCAUCUCAGAAAUUUAGUAAAUAAAAAUCACAGGUUGCAAAUGGUAUUUGUGUAGAUAUGUAAAAGAUCUACAGGAAGACCCUUUGAAUUUUGGGAAUGUGAGCCUAUUUCUACUACUCAAGUGGUACAGAUCCUGAGUGUCACUUAUUAAGUUAUUACUGCAAAACCACAGACUUCUCAUGUCACCAGUUGGACCUCCCUUUGCUUCUUGUCACUGCUUUUACUGUGCUGCCAGAACAAAUACAUUCAUUGAGUGGUAAGUUAUAAUUUUCCAGAUUUAUGCAGUGUUGGAAUAUUCCCCAUGGUAUCUUUCUGUGCACAUUUUGCAAUUCAGCUGCUUAAGGAAAAUUCUGGGAUUUGAAUUGCAAUUAUUUUUAAGUAACAAGUAAUUUAGUAUAAAAAUGGUCUGGUGAGUGUCACAGUUGUCUUUAUGGUCUUAAGUUUCAACUUCACACUGUGAAGACAGUAAGGUUUGUUCGUCAGCCAGAUCUUGAAGCUGAGAAUAGAGUUAAUUAACUGAGAUUGGCAGUAUAUGCUUUCCCUAUGUCAGGACAAAACUUUACCGGUGUUUUGAAAACAACCUUCCAGUUGUUUUUAUAUUAUUCUGACACUUUCUGGGAGUAUUUUUCAUAAACUGUUUUUACAAAUCACUGACAAAUAGGAUCGUAGAAUCAUAGAACAGUUUGGGUUGGAAGGAACUUUAAAGACCAUGGAGCUCCAACCGCCUGCUGUGGGCAGGGCUGCCAAUCAUCAGAUCAGACUGCCUGGGGUCCCAUCCAACCUGGCCUCAAAUAACUCCACAUAUGCCUAAUACUGAACAAAAUGAAUAUAAAUAGUUCAAGAUUCAAGGAACUUAGGAUAUAUAUAGGCACCUAUAUAAUGCAGUUCAGUGCACAUUGAAUGUUGCAAGUAUGAUCAGUGUAAGACCUUGUCUUUCCAUUUUCACAUUCAUAUUUUCAGGUUAGCACGAAGAAAGUUACUGUUCUUCAAUACAAAUGAGAUGAUCAAAAUUAUAUUUAUCUAUCUGAAAGAUUUUGAAGAUUUAAUACCUCUGUUAGUCCAUCUGCAGAGCCAACAGAAAUCCCAAGGUGGCCAUCUGGACAGAUUUCACUUCUAACAUUCAGCCACCAUUACUGUCUCUUCUCUUAGAAAUAUGUAAUUUGUGGGAAGCAGACAGAAGCAGUGUUAAGACAGCUGCCUGAAGUCUAGCUUUCUGGUCAGGUAAGUGUGUUGCAGAAACUAGAGAUCCGCAUGGCCGAGGAAACUGUAUGGAGUGGUUAAAAAUAGCUGAUGCACUGAACUAGUCAGUUUUCAUAUUGGGCUCAUAUAGGGCAGAGACUGUUAAUGAUUGUUGAAGCGUGUAUUUAUAGGAAGUUGACCAUGUGGAAACCUGGCCCAAAUCACCUCAGUCCCCAGUAUAUACAUAGAAAUUACCUAGAACCUUGUAAAUAAGGAAUACUCAUAAAUGUUUUUCUUCUUUUAAAAAUGACUUAAUGGUUACAGUUUUCCAUUCAGAAUACCUUUAGCUGUUUAAUGAAGCAUCAUGUACAGUAUGAACUACAUAAUAAUUAUAGGUUUUGGAGCUGUUUGUAAGUGAUAGCUUACAAUAAAAAAUGUCUGACUUAAGAAAACAGUCUUGCUCACAGAAUAGUAAUUUUAGCAUAAAAGUUUAUGAUUUUUUAUAGCUUUAUAACAUUUGAUGAUGCUAUAAAGCCCUCACAGUCUUUACUGUUUAAAAUGAUUUGAUAGCACACAUACGUUGUGUGAAUGCUGCAUUCUUCAUCAAAUUUUAUUUUUGCUUCCCGUUCUGUUAAAAAAUAAAAAUGUAGCAUGCAAAUACAGAGAUGAUUAUUUCCUACUUCAGUGUUUUAAACAUUUGACGUAGAGUGGAUGGUUAAAAAAUGAAAAAAUGUUUGUAGUUCUUAAAUGGAAAAAAAUUAGAAAAAUGUAAGAUAAAUAGAAUGAGCAAUAUUCUGUGAGUUUUUGUUUUUGUGCUUUUGUUGUUGCUGCUUUUUUUUUUUUUUUCCUAGAAGUGAAAUGAAUAUUGAUGAAAGAAAGGAAAAUAAAGAAAUCAAGAAGUACAAAUGAAACACAUCUGUAUGAUUGCUGUUUUCCCAGAGAAGAGCUGAAAUGCAGGUGGGCUUGCAUUUAUAGCCCAGUAGGCCAACUGUAUCCUAGGCUACAUCAAGAGAGGGGUGGCCAGCAAGGCAUGGGAGGUGAUUGUUGUCCUCUACUCUGCCCUCAUGAGGCCCCAUCUGGAGUACAGAAUCCAGAUCUGGGGCCCCCAGCACAAGUGGAGCAAUUGGAGGGGGUCCGGAGGAAGUCCAUGAAGAUGAUUAGAAGGCUGGAGCAUCUCUCCAAUGAAGAAGGAGGUGUUCAAGGCCAGGUUGGAUGGAUCCUGAGCAAUCUAAUCCAGUGCUUGAUUUAGAGGUUGGCAACAUUGCCCCAUGGCAAGAAGAUUGGAACUAGACGAUCCUUAAGGUCCCUUCUAACUCAAGCCAUUCUGUGAUUCUGUGUUUCAAUGAUUCUAUGAUAGAUGUAUGUGGAAACAGGGAAGUCUUGAGUUUUAAGGGUACAAAUGAUUUAGAUUUCCAUGGAAGGAAUUUUGCCUUCCAGAGUUCAUUCUGGGAUUUAAUUCUGUUUUAAAAUCAUUUGACCAAUGCUAGCGUGCUUCCAUAAUACUCACUGAUGGGUAUUGUUUCACUUAUAUGCAUUUUACUUCAGGGAACAUUGUGAAAAUAUUUCACUUCUUAUGUCUGCAAAAAUAUGGAUUAGAAUUGCUCAAUCCAAAAAAAAGAACAAGCAAAUAAUGUCAAGUUCACAAAAUUAAAGGCAAUUAUAGACUAUUUUAUAUACAUUUAAAAAAUAAAGCAAUAAAUGGCCAGUUUUGAACAUUCUCAGUGAUCACUAGAGAUUAGCUGUUAUGUUUUAUAUUCUCUGUUAUCUUUCAAGCAGAAAACCAAAUUUCUAGCCUGUUUCUUUAAAAUUCCUAGGUUUUGUAUGUGUGGUGCUCAUUCAAUUAUUUUAUAUAUUUAUUUUGCUUGUUUGAUGGCUUUGCAUUUGGAAGGCUGCCUGAGGAGAGAUGCCUGAAGGAAAAGAGGAAAUCCAGACAACUAUAAAAAUAUCCUACAUGUUUUCACAGCAAAAAAUGCAUGGGCACAAUGGCAGAUCUCUCCCAUGUUAACGCUGCAGCUGCAUAUAACAGAGGAGACUGCAUCACUAUCACCCUGGUGUGACAUUUUUGUGAGAUGCAGUUAGUACAAUGCUGUGACAUUUACAGUGUUGUGCACUGCAUUUAGUGGCAGAUCUGCUAACAACAGCAGAUCUAUUCCUGGCCACAUAGAGUGGAAUGCUGCCUACUCACUCUCUCCUCUCUGCAUUGGUUUCCUGCCCUAAUGUACGUUACAUUUAGAACUUUGAUGUUAACUGAAGGCCAGCCAAAAAAGGACUUGGAAUCUGAAUGCUUUCAUAUUUCUGGAUAUGGGGUGGUUUUGAAUUUCCAGAUUAGUAGUAACUCAUCUGAUGUUAGUGUUGAGUUGUUUCCAGAACCAUAUGGGACCUAAUUUCUAAUGCAGCCAAGAACUUAAAGCCAAUCUGAAGAAACGUGGGACAAGCUGACAAAAAAAAAAGUAUCACAGGCAGAAUAACAGUGAAAGAUUUACAUCAGUUUCCCCCUCAUAAACUUUAGUCAUUUGCCUUGAAGUUACUCAGAAGUUACACCGAUGUCUAUUAUUUUCUUAUUCAGUGGUACAAAUGUUCAUACUCAUCUCAUCUGUGUAAAUAUACAUCCGUGUAAAUAUGAAAGUGAUUAGAUCAAAGAAAACUCUCUUUUUCAUUUUCCUGAAGUAACUAAUUUUAUCAGCUAAGCAUUAAGUGUACUUUUUAAAAUGAUCGUUCAUGCUUUCGCUGAUAAACAGGAGAUAACUAACUGCAUGUCCCAGGCAACUACUUUAUUGAAGUGAGAUGAAUGAUCUUCUGAAGGCUCCCUUCUUCAUGAGCUGCAGUGAUCCUAGACAGUUAUUCUAGACAUUUGGUGUUUAGACAUCUCAGUGUUUUCACACAACUCUGUGUUCCUACCCUUUGUGUAACUUUUAUAUGCAAAAACCAUUGAGCAAUGUAAAAUAUGACCCCCAUUUUAGAACAAUCCCAAGAGAAUUUUUUUUUUAAAUAAAUUUCAUCUACCUGGAAAUGUUAGGACAAAAGUAAGAUUUUCAUGGUUUUCCAUUACUCCCUGUAAAAGCAGAGAAAAAAAGUCUGUUAGAUCUACGAAUAAAAGGAAAUUGGCUGAAAAGAGCUAAUUCAUAAUGAAACUAACUUGUCAGACUAUUUUCAUAGCACUAUCUGUACAAAGAUUAAAAAAAAAAAACACCUCUCAUAAAAUAUUAAUGCUUUAACCUUUAAGUUAUUAGCCCUUAUAAAUUUAAACUACUGCUUACAUUGUAGAGAUGGAAAAGUUUAAGCUAACAGGAAGAGAUGAAAACAGGGCUUUAUCUUCUCUCUCCUAUGGCUGGGUUUUUAAUAUGUUAUCAUUCUUCUCUCUCUCUAAAUCAGUAAAUUAAGUGAUGUUAAUCAUCUCAAAAGCAGAUACACUUCUAGUACAUGUGUAACACACACUAAAGACACAUUUGAGCCUCCCUCACAAGAGAAAGGAUUGAUCAAAUAUAGCUCUUCAGUGCGAGGAGGCACUGGGACAUCAUUUUUUCCCAGUACCUUUCCCAAAACAGUAGCAUAAAAAACAUCUCUAAAAUGCCUGUAGUAGAAAUCAGUAUAGCCAGUAGGAUCUCAACACAACAGAUGAAACUGAAGUGCAUAAAUAGUGAAUUGCACUGCAGCCAGCUUUUUAGUUUGUGGGAGCUUCAAUUACCACAUUCUCCCCUUUACAAGGCAUGAGGAUGCAACACAUUUGUGGCAGGGUAAUGUGAGCACUCCCUGCAUCCACAUCACAGGCUGAACCCAUCACCACUCACAAAGAGCACAUGCAGCUGGGGUAAAUUCAGCCUGGACAUUUCAGUCGUCUUUGGCACCGAGGAAUGGGAAUUUUUUAAUGUAUGUUAUUCUUCUGAGGAAUGUAAAAUAUUUUCACUUGGGACUUUUAAAUCCUCAAAUGUACACUCUGUGAACUGUUGACAUGAUGUUUUCAGGUCAAUAUUUCAACCAGAUUCCAAGAAUCCAAGAAUCAGCAGCUGCUAUUGUAAUUUUCCUAUGGGCUUCUAUUAAGUUGUUUCAAAAUUUGUGUUAAAAAUCAUGCUGGGAUAGAUCUGGAAAGGUGAAACAAGCAAGCAAAAAACUUUUGAAAAUUAUAUUUGCUCUGCAAAAAUGAUUACCCAUUUGCACAUUAAUAUGCACUAUUUUGUAUGUAUGUGUAAGAGAUUAUUCUUUUAUAUCAUUGACUCAAAGUUUGCUGAGGAACAAGUCCAGGCAAGUCCUGGGCAAAGGCAGAGAAAUCUUUUGUCUUGAGGACACUGAUGGACAGGUCCUGGCUAAGGAUUGUGAAAUCCUCUAAGGAGCACAGAUGGACAAGGCCAGGGGCAUCGAGAGAGAGAUAAGCUGCUGCUAAUGGCCGGGAAACGGUCUUUUUGUGUGGACUUAUCUCAAGGAAAAUGGCCAUCUCAGGAGGUAUGCACAGGACUCUUGCUCAAGCACCCAGGAAUGUCACGUAGGCAGCAGAAAAUGGAGGAUAAAAGAGGGUCCAACAACCACGGCUAGGUGGAGGCUGAUCUCUCACCACGACACGAGCUUUCUGCCUUCAGAUCCUUCUCUACGGACCGUUUGCUGACGGACUUCCCUGGGCCUGCUACCUGAGACCUGCUGCUUCCUCCCUGACCUGCACUCUCUCGUUGCCCAAGACCGGCCUCGCUGCUCCUGCCCUUCGGCGUCGGAACCUCGUGCUACGGGACUGCUGCCGGAUCCUGGUGUAUUAUUAACUAGCAUCAAAGAAAACAUGG
rnacentral:lncRNA from 1 species